UUUGAAAAUAUUAUUAAUAUUUUUAUUUAUUGUAAUAUUUAAAAUAAGAAGAUUAUGGUUUUAGUAUAUUUAAAGAAAAAAUUUAUUUAAUUAUAGAGAAUUAGUAUUGAAAAAGAAAUAGGUUUAAAAGUUUAAAAGAAAGAUUAAUUUUUUGUACCUUGUGUAUCAGGGGUUAUUAAAUAAAUAUUAAGAAUUUAAUUUUCUCGAAUUAAUAAGAGCUAUAAAUAUAGAUUUUUUUUGUUGAAUAAAGAUUAUAAAUAUAUUUAUAGAAGUGAAACGCUAUUCGAUUAUUAAUAUAUCUAGUUUUUAAAGAAAAAAAUUUAAUUUUUUUAUUAGUUAGUACAAGGCUUAAUUUUUAGUUUAGUAUUAUUAAUAGGUUAUAUUUUAGGGGAUGAGCUUUAAAGUAGAAGUUUUUAAUUAAUAAAUAUUAUUUUAAUAAAGUAGAAUUGUAAGUUUUUUUCUUUAAGAGUGUGUUGUAACUUUUUUAAGUUUUAUUAUUAUUUAUAUAUUUAUAUUGAAAUUUUCUAUUUAAAUAAAAAUUUUAUUUUAAAAUAUUUUGGGAUAAUGAUAAUAUUAGUAUAAUUUAAUGUUUAAAGGAUUUUAAUUUUUAGGUUAAAUAAAGGAAUUCGGCAAAUAUAUUUUUCACCUGUUUAUUAAAAACAUGGCCUUUUGAGUAUAAUUUAAGGUCUGGCCUGCCCAAUGAGGAUUUCAAUGGCCGCGGUAAUUUGACCGUGCAAAGGUAGCAUAAUAAAUAGUUUUUUAAUUGAGAGCUGGAAUGAAAGGUCGGAUGAGAAAAUAACUGUCUCUAUUUAAAUUUUUUAGAAUUUUAUUUUUAAGUAAAAAAGCUUAAAUGAAAAUAGAAGACGAGAAGACCCUAUAGAGUUUUAUAAAUUUUUAUUUCGAAAUUUUUAGUAUUAAUAUAUUUUUUUUAUAAGAAUUUAUUUAGUUGGGGAGAUUGAAAAAUUUAAUAAACUUUUUCUUUAUUUGAACAUUAAUUUAUGAAUAUUUGAUCCUUAUUUUAAGAUUAUAAGAAAAAAUUACCUUAGGGAUAACAGCGUAAUUUUUUUUGAGAGUUCUUAUCGAAAGAAAAGAUUGCGACCUCGAUGUUGGAUUAAAAUAAAAUUUUGGUGUAGAAGCUAAAGUAUUUAGGUCUGUUCGACCUUUAAAAUUUUACAUGAUCUGAGUUUAAACCGGUGUAAGCCAGGUUGGUUUCUAUCUCUAUUCAAUUUUAAUAUCUUAGUACGAAAGGACCAGGUAUUAAAUUUAUAAUUUUGACUAAAGAAGAAUAGUAUU
rnacentral:rRNA from 1 species